CACGUAGGGCGCAAGCGUUGUCCGGAAUUACUGGGCGUAAAGGGCGCGUAGGCGGCUUGGUCAGUCCCGUGUGAAAUCCCUCGGCUCAACUGAGGAACUGCACGGGAAACUGCCUGGCUUGAGUUCGGGAGAGGGAAGCGGAAUUCCGGGUGUAGCGGUGAAAUGCGUAGAUAUCCGGAGGAACACCGGUGGCGAAGGCGGCUUCCUGGACCGACACUGACGCUGAGGCGCGAAAGCUAGGGGAGCAAACGGG
rnacentral:rRNA from 1 species